rnacentral:rRNA from 1 species
AUACGGAAGGUCCGGGCGUUAUCCGGAUUUAUUGGGUUUAAAGGGAGCGCAGGCGGAGAUGCAAGCGUGACGUCAAAUUUCGGGGCUCAACCCCGUCUCGCGUCGCGAACUGCGUCCCUUGGUUGCGGGAAGGGGAGGCGGAACUCGUGGUGUAGCGGUGAAAUGCAUAGAUAUCACGAAGAACUCCGAUCGCGAAGGCAGCCUUCCGGCCCGUCAACGACGCUCAUGCUCGAAGGUGCGGGUAUCAAACAGGAUUAGAUACCCUGGUAGUCCGCACAGUAAACGAUGGACACCCGCGGUUUGGCCUGUAUGGCUGAGCCGCCAAGCGAAAGUGUUAAGUGUCCCACCUGGGGAGUACGCCGGCAACGGUGAAACUCAAAGGAAUUGACGGGG